CUGGCGAGGCCGGUACUGACGCUCAGGCACGAAAGCGUGGGGAUCAAACAGGAUUAGAUACCCUGGUAGUCCACGCAGUAAACGAUGAUAACUUGUUGUCGGCGAUAGAGUGUCGGUGACAAAGCGAAAGCGAUAAGUUAUCCACCUGGGGAGUACGAUCGCAAGGUUGAAACUCAAAGGAAUUGACGGGGGCCCGCACAAGCGGAGGAGCAUGUGGUUUAAUUCGAUGAUACGCGAGGAACCUUACCUGGACUCAAAUGUUGACUGACAGGACCAGAAAUGGUCUCUUCCUUCGGGACAGUUAGCAAGGUGCUGCAUGGUUGUCGUCAGCUCGUGCCGUGAGGUGUCAGGUUAAGUCCUAUAACGAGCGCAACCCCUACGUCCGGUUGCCAGCGGGUAAAGCCGGGGACUCUGGAGGGACUGCCGGCGCAAGCCGAGAGGAAGGUGGGGAUGACGUCAAAUCAGCACGGCCCUUACGUCCAGGGCGACACACGUGCUACAAUGGCCGGUACAGAGGGCAGCCACCUGGCGACAGGGAGCGAAUCUCGAAAGCCGGUCUCAGUUCGGAUCGGAGUCUGCAACUCGACUCCGUGAAGUUGG
rnacentral:rRNA from 1 species